GACACCCAGGGGGAUCACAGGGGCAUCAUUUGAUAUUCCUGUAACCAAUUUUGAGAGUAAAUGGACAGGAAGAACAUGAUGGCAGAGUCUCAGACUUUAUAGAACCAGGGGCUGACACACAGUGGAUGCCUAGCAGAGAGUUGUUGAAUGAUUGCUGAAUGAAUCCCAUGAAGCUUACCACACCCCUCAGACCCCACCCUCUCGGUGUUGGCCCAGCUGCAAGUCCACAUUCAGGCAGAUAGCCAGGCCUGCUCCUCUGGCUGCUCGGCCUCUUGGAAGCUCUGUUUCUCCCUUUAUGUUGCUGGAUGAAGUCUCUGCUUUCCCUCCCCACAACUUCGAGACCUCUGGAACUAUGAAUGGAAACCAAAUCAGCCUCAUAAUUUGUAUUCAUCUGUGGGGACCCAGGUGAUUCAGAGAGGGCCUGAACUGUGCAUGUGGCACGUGGCCACUCCACCCAGCUGCCUUUACCUAAAAUAUUAACUGUUAUUGAUGGAGUCCCUCCUAGGAUGCUGGACCUAAGGCCUUAUUACAUUAUUUCAUUCAGUCCUUUAAACAAAUUUUAGGGAGUAAAUGUGUAUAUCCUUUGGGGACAGGUGAAGAAAUUGAAGCCCAGAAAGAUGAAUUCAAUUGGCCAAAAUCACUGUCAGUGGCACAAUUGGGUGUUGAAUCCAGAUGUUUGAUUCCAAAGGUAGUUCUCUUAUCCACCAAUCAGAAGUUGGAUACAUCAUCAGUGGGUUUGCCCUGGAAAGGACUCCUGUAUCCAGAAGACAGGGAUGGAGACGGGGAGAGACAUCCCACCCUGACAUGGGCUCAUGUUACUCUCUGGGAUCAGACUGGAGAAAGCACCUGGCUCAGCCUGUGGCAGCUUUAGCUGCUCACCUCUCCCACUCCCCCGGGGACCCCCUGGGGGCAGAACAACUGAACUGAGUGAGCUGUGGAUGACCAAUAAACGAGUGAAACUCCACAAGGAGAAAAUUCUUGCAGAGCUAAUAUAUGCUGCAAAAGAAACGUGUUAGUUGCUCAAUUGUGUCCUACUCUUUGUGACUCCAUAGACUGUAGCCAGCCAUGCUCCUCUGUCCAUGGAGUUCUCCAGGAAAGAAUACUGGAGUGGAUUUCCGUUUCCUUCUUCAGGGCUUUUUCUUGACCCAGGGGUUGAAUCUGGAUCUCCCUCAUUGCAGGCAGAUUCUUUGCUAUCUGAGCCACCAGGGAAGCCCAUAUACUGCCAAAGUUAAUUACAAAUAUUUUCUUCUAUGGUGCUCCUGAUAACCCUGUGAGAGAGACAUUGUUAUCCCCAUAUAGAUAUAGAUAUAUGUUCAUAUAGAUAUAUGUUCUUAAAGAUAAAGAACUAAGAUUCAUAGAAAGUAAUUAAUUUGCUUAAGAUCUCCCAGCUUGUAACAGAGCCAGGAUCCAAACUCAGAUCAACUUCACUACAAAGCUUGAGGUCUUUUCACAACCCUAUCAUUUCCAGAAAUUAUUUGGGUUUUACAAAAGUUUGAAUUUCUCCAGAAGUGCAAGGACUCUUUGAUUAGCAGCCUGGGGACGGAUUUGCAAUUUCUCAG
ensembl:lncRNA